rnacentral:rRNA from 1 species
UACGUAGGGUGCGAGCGUUAAUCGGAAUUACUGGGUGUAAAGUGUGCGCAGGUGGCCGCGCAAGUCGAGUGUGAAAUCCCCGAGCUUAACUUGGGAAUUGCGCUCGAAACUACGUGGCUCGAGUGUGGCAGAGGAAGGUGGAAUUCCACGUGUAGCGGUGAAAUGCGUAGAGAUGUGGAGGAACACCGAUGGCGAAGGCGGCAUCCUGGACCAACACUGACGCUGAGUGAGCGAAAGCCAGGGGAGCAAACGGG